CAUAGAAGCAAGCAGAGAGAUAAAGCAAAAUGAAAGCACUUGAGAAUGGGUGAGAGACGUUAUGUUUAUUUUUGUAAAUUACCUCAGCAGCUCUCAACUGACGGCAUACUAAGAAGCCAACAGGUGCCAGUUUACUGGAAUGUUGUCAGCAGACACUUUAUCAACAGAAAAGGCUGGCCUUCGUACGUCCUCCAAGGAGUUGUUGAUGACAAAUACUGAAACCGCAACAGAUUGAUGGAAAAUAAAUCGACUUUUUCAUUGUGGGAGAUCCUGCAUACCCCUCCUCGAGUGGCUCAUAAAGGAAUUCACUCAUUCUCCACAUAUGACUCCAGAUAAUGUCUAUCUCAGUUCAGUGAGAAUGGCAGUGGAAAUCGCUUUUGGUAGGCUAAAAGCAAGAUGGAGAGUUCUCCUUAAGCAAAGUGACUUUCACUUCAAAUUCUCACCUUACAUGAUUGCAACCUGUUGUGCACUGUGAACAGGAGAAAGAGCAAAUUAAUCGUGUUUGGAUGGAAGACGCAAGAGCCUUGGAAGAACACCUGCCACAGCCCAUUGCACCACCAGUUUACACGGUCAAUACCAGUGAUGCCACUGCAAGGCAGAUACUAAUGAACUAUAUGGCGGCUAACUUCCCCCUCCGCAGACAUCAUUACAACUAGGUUGAGAUAUUUAUUAUCCCCAUCUACAGUUGAGGUCCAAAGACUUAAGAAAACACUUAGAAACACUUGUCUCUGUAAUGUAGGCAUACACAAACAUUUACUUAACUUUGUUAAAUAAAAUAAAAUAAAAAAAAUUUAAAAAAAGGUACAAAGGUACUGUAACUUAGUUCCAGUAGUUUUUAUUUUCACUGGAAGAAAGGCGAUAUUGGGUUGUGAGUUCAAUCAAUGCAUCCUGUAAUUUGGGGAAUGUUUUUUUUUUGUAAUCUUUAAGAGGUAAAAUUUCAGUUAGUUA